rnacentral:rRNA from 1 species
CUACGGGCGGCAGCAGUGGGGAAUAUUGGACAAUGGGGGAAACCCUGAUCCAGCAAUGCCGCGUGUGUGAAGAAGGCCUGCGGGUUGUAAAGCACUUUCGGUUGGGAGGACUGCUUCUAGCACUAAUAUUGUUGGAAGUUGACGUUACCUUCAGAAGAAGCACCGGCUAACUCCGUGCCAGCAGCCGCGGUAAUACGGAGGGUACAAGCGUUAAUCGGAAUUACUGGGCGUAAAGCGCGCGUAGGCGGCUAGAUCAGUCGGGUGUGAAAGCCCCGGGCUUAACCUGGGAACUGCAUCCGAUACUGUCUAGCUUGAGCGCAGGAGAGGAGAGUGGAAUUCCACAUGUAGCGGUGAAAUGCGUAGAUAUGUGGAGGAACACCAAUGGCGAAGGCAGCUCUCUGGCCUGAUACUGACGCUGAGGUGCGAAAGCGUGGGGAGCAAACAGGAUUAGAUACCCCUGUAGUC